UACGGGGGGGGUAAGCGUGGUUCGGAAUUACUGGGCGUAAAGGGCUCGUAGGCGGCCAACUAAGUCAGACGUGAAAUCCCUCAGCUUAACUGGGGAACUGCGUCUGAUACUGGAUGGCUUGGAUUCGGGAGAGGAAUGCGGAAUUCCAGGUGUAGCGGUGAAAUGCGUAGAUAUCUGGAGGAACACCGGUGGCGAAGGCGGCAUUCUGGACCGAUAUUGACGCUGAGGAGCGAAAGCCAGGGGAGCAAACGGG
rnacentral:rRNA from 1 species